rnacentral:rRNA from 1 species
AUUGAACGCUGGCGGCAUGCCUUACACAUGCAAGUCGAACGGUAACGGGCCUUCGGGUGCCGACGAGUGGCGAACGGGUGAGUAAUGUAUCGGAGCGUACCUUUCAGUGGGGGAUAACGUAGCGAAAGUUACGCUAAUACCGCAUAUUCGGUGAGCAGGAAAGCAGGGGAUCGCAAGACCUUGCGCUGAUUGAGCGGCCGAUAUCAGAUUAGCUAGUUGGUGAGGUAAAGACUCACCAAGGCGACGAUCUGUAGCGGGUCUGAGAGGAUGAUCCGCCACACUGGAACUGAGACACGGUCCAGACUCCUACGGGAGGCAGCAGUGGGGAAUUUUGGACAAUGGGGGCAACCCUGAUCCAGCCAUGCCGCGUGAGUGAAGAAGGCCUUCGGGUUGUAAAGCUCUUUCGGCCGGGAAGAAAUCGUAUCAGCUAAUACCUGGUGCGGAUGACGGUACCGGCAUAAGAAGCACCGGCUAACUACGUGCCAGCAGCCGCCGUAACAC